CCUACGGGAGGCAGCAGUGAGGAAUAUUGGUCAAUGGACGAGAGUCUGAACCAGCCAAGUAGCGUGAAGGAUGACUGCCCUCUGGGUUGUAAACUUCUUUUAUAUGGGAAUAAAAUGUUCCACGUGUGGGAUUUUGUAUGUACCCUAUGAAUAAGGAUCGGCUAACUCCGUGCCAGCAGCCGCGGUAAUACGGAGGAUCCGAGCGUUAUCCGGAUUUAUUGGGUUUAAAGGGAGCGUAGGUGGAUUGUUAAGUCAGGUGUGAAAGUUUGCGGCUCAACCGUACAAUUGCAGUUGAAACUGGCAGUCUUGAGUACAGGAGAGGUGGGCGGAAUUCGUGGUGUAGCGGUGAAAUGCUUAGAUAUCACGAAGAACUCCGAUUGCGAAGGCAGUUCACUGGACUGCAACUGACACUGAGGCUCGAAAGUGUGGGUAUCAAACAGGAUUAGAUACCCCAGUAGUC
rnacentral:rRNA from 1 species